CAGAACCAUGGCUCCUGCUCUUUUAUUGCAUGCCCUGCUCCUUCAGUUGACAUUGGAACCUGCCGUGAUGGGAAGCUGAAGUGCUGCAAAUGGAGACCCAGCUCCUAAAUCUGAGACCUCACUGACCACGCAGAUAAGAGCCCUGGGAAUCUGAGACGUCUCCUGCCUUAUGACAUCACAGGAUCUUUGAACUUUGAUGCAAACCCAAGGAGCCUUUCCCAAUGGAGUGAAGAGUCCUGGGAGCACGAGAAGAUCUGAGGAGGAAUUCUUGUACCUCAGAUAGAGAUUUGCAGCUCCAUUUCUAAUAAAAACAAUUCCAAGUGAAACCACAUUGCUGACAUUUGCUGGUGUAUGUCAGGGUGGUUUUGUUGUUAUUACUGUAUACAACAAUCAACUUGUAAAUGAAGUUUAUUUAACUAAAUUAAUUUACAUGCAUGUGUCUUUGAGUCCUAUUAAAUCACCCUUAAAUUGCG